UCGGGAAUCUUGCACAAUGGGCGAAAGCCUGAUGCAGCAACGCCGUGUGAGCGAGGAAGGUCUUCGGAUCGUAAAGCUCUGUUGUUGGGGACGAAGGGCGAAGGGUUAAUAGCCCCUAGCCUGACGGUACCCUUCGAGGAAGCCCCGGCUAACUACGUGCCAGCAGCCGCGGUAAUACGUAGGGGGCGAGCGUUGUCCGGAAUUAUUGGGCGUAAAGAGCGUGUAGGCGGCCUGGUAAGUCUGCCGUGAAACCUUGGGGCUCAACCCUGAGCGGGCGGUGGAUACUGCUAGGCUAGAGGAUGGUAGAGGCGAGUGGAAUUCCCGGUGUAGCGGUGAAAUGCGCAGAUAUCGGGAGGAACACCAGUAGCGAAGGCGGCUCGCUGGACUGUAACUGACGCUGAGGUACGAAAGCGUGGGGAGCGAACAGGAUUAGAUACCCGCGUAGUCC
rnacentral:rRNA from 1 species